UGAGAAUCUCGCGGGCUGAAUGUCGCAUGAGGUCCCCUCCGCCCGUGGGGACUGGCUGCUGCCGUCGCAGCUGUCAUGGUGGAAUCAGGAAUACAUAGUCCCUAGUGGCAUUAACAGAACAAGAACCAUACAAAUUAAAGCUCAUAGAAACACAAAGGGAAGACAGAACCUCAGAGAACAAUGCCAACCAUGACAGUCUGAAAUAGAUGCUUGGGCCACACAUGAAGGCUAGAAGGAAAAUCCAAACUGUACGUGGAUCUUUGAUGCGGAGCUUGUGGAGACAACUGUGGAAACCAACACAUCUCUUUGAGAAUGGAAGUCAAGCAGCUCAGGGUGUUUUCAGGAUACUUUUGAUUGGCAGAGAAAAUAACCAGGAAAAUGAGCAGGAAGCAGGCUGUCUCCCUGUAUGGUGGGGUUCCAAUACCUGACUAAUGUCUUCUUCACUUCUGCCUGGCAAAUCUCAUGCAAGUGAGGCUAUAAGUGAAUUUCAACAUGGAUCUAUAAAGGGAACAGAUUCUAGGAAAUUUACCUGUGUCGACAGGUAGCAGGAGGGCCACGUCCAGCUCUAGAUUUUAUUGUCCUAUCACAGGUGUCCUUCCUGAAUUCAAACUCUACUAUUCAAAUCCCAGACAGAAUUAUAAAAAAAAGGCGAAAAUAAUAAUUCGCAUAAGAAUAUAUGAUAAACUUCACAUACUUACCAACUUAUGCCAGAUGUUUAAUAAAAAGGAAAAUGGAAUAAGGCUCUUCUAGCUGAAAUUCAUUUUAUUUAUUUAUUUAUUUGAGAUGGAGUCUCGUUCUGCUGCCCAGGCUGGAUUGCAGUGGCACGAUCUCGGCUCACUGCAAGCUCCGCCUCCCGGGUUCACACCAUUCUCCUGCCUCAGACUCCUGAGUAGCUGGGACUACAGACGCCCGCCACCAUGCCCAGCUAAUUUUUUGUAUUUAUAGUAGAGACGGGGUUUCACUGUAUUAGCCAGGAUGGUCUCAAUCUCCUGACUUCGUGAUCCGCCCACCUCGGCCUCCCAAAGUGCUGGGAUUACAGGUGUGAGCCACUGCGCCCGGCAAGAAAUUUAUUAUAUUUUAAUUUAAUUUUUUUGAUAUGGAGUCUCGUUCUGUUGUCCAGGCUGGAGUGCAGUGGUGUGAUCUUGGCUCACUGCAACCUCUGACUUCCAGGUUCAAGCAUUUCUCCUGCCUCAGCCUCCCAAGUAGCUGAGAUUACAGGUGCCCUCCAACAUGCCCAGCUAAUUUUUGUAUUUUUAGUAGAGAUGGGAUUUCACCAUGUUGGCCAGGUUGGUCUCGAACUCCUGACCUCAAGUGAUCUGCUUGCCUUGGUUUCCCAAAGUGCUGGAAUUACAAAGGAGUGAGCCACCGUGUCUGGCCAAGAAAUUUAAAAAGCAGUUUUUCGGAAAAGGUGAAAUAAAUAUAUAAUGGGUAAUAUAUGCACCACCUUCCACAUGAGGCCAGUAGGAAAAAUCCUAGUUACAGUGUGUCAGUAUUCAACAAUCUCUUUAUUCAGAGAACAACUGAAAAACUAUACACAAAUUAAAACUAAUUGUAUAUUAAAAAUACACUUCUACUAACACUGGUCUUUAAAAGAAAAAAAAAAUACACUUCAGGCCGGGUGCGGUGGCUCAAGCUUGUAAUCCCAGCACUUUGGGAGGCUGAGGCGGUCGAAUCACGAGGUCAGGAGAUUGAGACCAUCCUGGCUUAACACGGUGAAACCCCAUCUCUACUAAAAAUACAAAAAAAAUUAGCUGGGCAUGGUGGCGGGCGCCUGCAGUCCCAGCUACUGGGGAGGCUGAGGCAGGAGAAUGGCGUGGACCCGGGAGGCGGAGCUUGCAGUGAGCCGAGAUCACACCGCUGAACUCCAGCCUGGGCAACAGAGCAAGACUCCGUCUCGAAAAAAAAAAAAUACACUUCAGUUUACUCAUGAAUCAAGACAUCAAGAGAAAGAGAAAAGUUUUACUAACUGAUUUAAUGAGAAAACACAACCUUUUAAACUUUUGACCACUGCUUAAAGAGUACUUACAGAAUUAUCUCACUUCCAAGACUUCUUGGAAAAGUAGUUAAGUUACAAUUCAUAGUCCAGAGAUGUACUUGAAGAAUGAGCCAGUGAUAAAAAAUUUUUAACUUUUUUUUGGUGUGUGGGAUGGAGUCUUGCUCUGUUGCCCAGGCUGGAGUGUAGUGGCACAAUCUCAGCUCACUGCAGCCUCCACCUCCCAGGUUCAAAUGAUUCUCCUGCUUCAGCCUCCCAAGUAGCUGGAAUUACAGGUGCAUGCCACCACGCUCAGGUAAUUUUUGUAUUUUUAGUAGAGAUGGGGUUUCACCGUCUUGGCCAGGCUGGUCUCGAACUCCUGACCUCAGGUGAUCUGCCUGCCUUGGCCUCCCAAAGUGCUGGGAUUACAGGCAUGAGCCACCAUGCCUUGCCUUAACUUUUAUAUCGUGUGUGAUGAAUUUAUAUCAUGGUGUGAAUUUUCUGGAGCAUUUUACAGGCAGAGAUUGCUUAAUCAUGGGUAUAUGUUCUGAGAAACGUGUUGUAGGUGAUUUCCUCAUGGUACAAACAUCACAAAGUGAACUUACACAAAUCUAGAUGGUAUAGCUACAACACAUCUAGACUAUAUGGUACAGUCUAUUGCUACUAGGCUAUAAACCAUACAACAUGUUGUUGUACUGAACACUGUAGGAAAUUGUAACAAAAUGUUAAGUAUUUAUGAGUCUAAACACAGAAAAUACACAGAGUAAACAUGCAGUAUAAAAGAUAAAAAAGGAUGCACCUGCAUAGGACACUCCAUGAACAUAGCUUGCAGGACUAGAAGUUGCUCUGGGUGAGUCAGUUGAGUGGUGAGUGAAUGCGAAGGCCCAGGAUGUUACUGUACACUAAUGGAGAAUUUAUAAACACUGUACACUUGGACUACACUACAUUCAUAAAAACAUUUUUUCCUCAAUAAUGAAUAAACCUUAACUUACUGUACAUUAUUUUCUUUAUAAACUUAUUUUUAAAAACUUUGUAAUAAUUUAGCUUAAAACACAUUGUACAGCUGUACAAAAAUAUUUUAUGUCCAUAUUCUAUAAGCUUUUUCUAUUAAAUUUUUUUAAACUAUUUUUGUUAAAGACUAACUAAGACACAAACACACAUUAGUGUAGGACUACACGGGGUGAGGAUCAUCAAUAUCAUUGUCUUCUGCCUCCAUGUUUUGUCCCGCCAGAAUACGUUCAGGGGCAGUCCUGCACAUGGAGCCGUCAUCGCCUAUCAUAACAAAGUUUUUCCGGGAAUAUCUCCUUAAGGACCUGCCUGAGACUGUCUUACUGUUAAAAAAACACAGGAAUACAUUCUAAAACAGGAUUGUAAAUAUAUAAACCAGUAACUUAGCCAUUUAUUAUCAAGUAUAUAUUGCACAUCUGUGCUGUAAUUUUUUUUUUUUCGAGACGGAGUCUCGCUCUGUCACCCAGGCUGGAGUGUAGUGGUAGAUCUCAGCUCACUGCAAUCUCCACCUCCCGGGUUCAAGCGAUUCUCCUGCUUUGGCCUCCCAAGUAGCUGGGACUACAGGCACACCAGAACGCCCAGCUAAUUUUCGUAUUUCUAAUGGAGACAGGGUUUCAUCAUGUUGACCAGGCUGGUCUUGAACUCCUGACCUCAACUGAUUCUCCCACCUCAGCCUCCCAAAGUGCUGGGAUUACAGGUAUGAGCCACUGUGCCCAGCCAAUUUUUUUUUUUUUUUUUUGAUACAGUCUCACUGUCACCCAUGCUGGACUGCCAUCACGUGAUCUUGGUUCACUGUAGCCUUGAACUCCUGGGCUCAGGCAAUCCUCCUGCCUCAGCCUCCCAUGUAGAUGGGACUACAGGGUGUGCUACCACACUUAGAAAAUGUUUUUAUUUUUUGUAGAGACAGGGUCUCACUAGGUUGACCAGAGUAGUCCUGGCAUCAAGCAAUCCUACUGCCUUAGUCUCCCAGUGUUGGGAUCACAGGUGUGACCAUGCCCAGCUGUGUUGUACUUUUUUUUUUUUU
rnacentral:lncRNA from 1 species